UUAAAUUGACGAGUCUUAGUGGGAAGAGAAUGAUUACACAUCAUUAUGAUAAUCGGCGCAAAGACCACAUGGGCGAGAAAGACAAUGGCAAUUGCCAAUUUGCCAUACUUUAUUCAAAAGAACAAACGUCAAUAGCUUUAUCUUCCACAUAUAUAAACUCGAGAAAACUCGCCUUUUCUUCAUCCGCAACAACAACAGAAGCAGCAGCAACACCAACUGUCUACUCAAUCCAUAAAACCAUAAAACAAAAGCUUCAUAAUUUUGAUCAGCUUGAAAGCCUUUGAAGAAGUAACAAAAGCAAUUUCAAAGAAGAAGAUAUGGCAGGAGGAAGGAGAUCAUUGUCACUGAUGAGCAGUGUUGACUCAACAAGAUUCUCUAGCCGUCCCAUACCUAAGAGAGGACAAGUUAAAGCUUGGAUUGUAAUUGGUAUAGCUCACUCUUUCUCUUCUCUCUUCUCCACCAGUGCUCGACGUUCCGCCAAUCAUUUUACCCGUCAGCACAGUUAAACACCAGUUUUGAUUUUUCGACAUUAGCGAAAUGAAGUCUGGGUUUCGAUCUGAAGCUGAAGAUAAGAGAAUUUAGGGUUUCAGGCUGCAAGUGCAGUUUGAGGUUUUGUGGGUUUCGAUCUGAAGAUAUAUUUCUUAAGAGAAACGAUGCUGGUGACCAUUUUCCCUCACUUGCAAUCUGCUUAGGCUUUGAACUGUUAAGUACCGUUAUCAGGGACUGUCGUAAAGCUUUAUCACCCUGAUUGUGUUGGAAAGGUUCCUCAAUUUGCGAGACUGUGGAGCCCUGGAUUUGUAGUAAGCAUAUCACCACCUCUCUUUUGUUAUGUUUUUGUUCAUGUUUUGUACAUACACAUACAGAUAUGUAGCAUGGUACUUACAGAUUUACUCACCAACAAAAGACAACAAAAAUGGUUCGAAGUUUGAUAUACUCACUUGGUGGAAAAGCAAUGCUGCAAGAUUUGAUAUUCUAUCACUUAUAGCAAGAGAUAUACUUGUUAUUCCCGUCUCUUCAGUUGCAAGUGAAUCUGCUUUCAGUACUGGAAAGCGAAUACUUGGUCAUUUCCGAAGUUCUUUAAAACCCCGAACUGUGGAAGCAUUGAUUCUCCUACAAAACUGGUUAAGGACACCAAUUGAUAUGGAUUCAUCUACAUUUGGAGCUGAAGAGAAGGAGGAUGACGUCUUAGAGUCAGAUUUAUUUGGUGAUCUUAGUACUUAUUCCAUCAUCGUAGAUGAUGAUUGAAGAAGAAGGUCAAUAUGAAGAGCUUUUGGUGAUGAUACUGUUAUAUGAAGAACAAGGUCACGUGAAGAACAUGGAAUUGGGCUGGGAUUCAUCGUCUAUUUCAAAAAGAAUACAACUCUUUUCUUGAGAAUACUUUUGUUUGUACAUUUUUUAUGGUUAUGCUUUUGUUUCUAAAUUCAUUGUUGGUCUACUAGCACAACAUGCACGGUCCCUUUUCUUGUUCA